AACGAACGCUGGCGGCAGGCCUAACACAUGCAAGUCGAGCGAGAUCUUCGGAUCUAGCGGCGGACGGGUGAGUAACGCGUGGGAAUAUGCCUCUUGGUACGGAAUAGCCUCGGGAAACUGAGAGUAAUACCGUAUGUGCCCUUCGGGGGAAAGAUUUAUCGCCAAGAGAUUAGCCCGCGUUGGAUUAGGUAGUUGGUGGGGUAAUGGCCUACCAAGCCUACGAUCCAUAGCUGGUUUGAGAGGAUGAUCAGCCACACUGGGACUGAGACACGGCCCAGACUCCUACGGGAGGCAGCAGUGGGGAAUCUUAGACAAUGGGGGCAACCCUGAUCUAGCCAUGCCGCGUGAGUGAUGAAGGCCUUAGGGUUGUAAAGCUCUUUCAGCUGGGAAGAUAAUGACGGUA
rnacentral:rRNA from 1 species